rnacentral:tRNA from 1 species
AGGAUUAUAGUUUAUAAAAAACAUAUGAUUUGCAUUCAUAAAAAAUUAAUAUUAAUUAAUCUUA